CUCGGCACUGCAUUUCUCUCAUCGAAGUCCAAAUCCAAAACCCUAAACUGAUCUCCAAAAUCCAACCUCAAAACCCUUAUUCUCCUCUUGCUUUGCAAUCAAACGCCAUGACGAAGGAAUUCGCGGUGCCGCCCGUAAUUUUUCCCUCCGGUGGCAACCCAACCGUUGGUGGUGCCUCCAACAUGCCGCAACGCAGGGUUCCAACGGCACCUUUUCAACCUCAACGACCUUCAAACUCUGGAAUCCCUUUCAUGUCAUUUGAGAUCGGUUCCGCUCCAACCGCACCUUACGGCGCCGGUCCCAUUGGCGGCGGGCCUGCCGCGUCAUCUGGCGCCGCGAACUUCGACGACGAAGAGCCACUGCUCGAUGAGCUCGGUAUACAUCCUGAUCAA
rnacentral:misc_RNA from 1 species